AAAUGUGAGGAUGAUCUGUCUGUGACAUCUGUCGCCUCGUUGGUCGCCAGGGUAGAUGCCGAUGAUCUGAUUGGCUAAGCAGGUGUCCCCUUCCUUCCUCAUCCAUGUGCAUUCCUCCUGAAGCUGUAUGCUCUCCCAAAUACUGAAGAACUCUGAAUGUGGGUAUCUGUUUUCCCUGUCUAGAACCUUUAAGCAAGCUCUCAGGACCAAAGAAAUUCAUUCUUCUGAGACCAACCUGAUUGAAAAUGUGGCUGUCAUCUCUCUUU
rnacentral:snRNA from 1 species